CUUUGACAGUAUGUUUCAGGAUCUGCCUACAUGUAGCCACAUGAACCAGGGUCAGAGGACUAAUUCUCGGAUUUUAAAUGUAGUUACGUUGGUUUAAGUUGCAUUCCAAUGUAGAUUCAGUUUUGAAAAAGGCAGUGUAGAUAAAAAUAUUGCCACGGAAUAAUAGUCGUUCAAGAAAUAUCAUUAAAUCACACUGAUCUCCCUCGGAAUGCUUCAUAUAAUGACUAGGAAUAUGUAGAGAAUGUUGGAAACGUAACUAAAAGCAAAAAAAUAAAUAACUCUUGGAAAUCCCACAAAU